GGAGAAAUGGCAGAGCGGUUGAAUGCACUAGUCUUGAAAACUAGCGUACCGCAGGGUACCGGGGGUUCGAAUCCCUCUUUCUCCGCCA
rnacentral:tRNA from 1 species